rnacentral:rRNA from 1 species
AGCAUAUCAAUAAGCGGAGGAAAAGAAACCAACAGGGAUUGCCCUAGUAACGGCGAGUGAAGCGGCAACAGCUCAAAUUUGAAAUCUGGCUCUUUCAGGGUCCGAGUUGUAAUUUGCAGAGGGCGCUUUGGCUUUGGCAGCGGUCCAAGUUCCUUGGAACAGGACGUCACAGAGGGUGAGAAUCCCGUACGUGGUCGCUAGCUAUUGCCGUGUAAAGCCCCUUCGACGAGUCGAGUUGUUUGGGAAUGCAGCUCUAAAUGGGAGGUAAAUUUCUUCUAAAGCUAAAUACUGGCCAGAGACCGAUAGCGCACAAGUAGAGUGAUCGAAAGAUGAAAAGCACUUUGGAAAGAGAGUCAAACAGCACGUGAAAUUGUUGAAAGGGAAGCGCUUGCAGCCAGACUUGCUUGCAGUUGCUCAUCCGGGCUUUUGCCCGGUGCACUCUUCUGCAGGCAGGCCAGCAUCAGUUUGGGCGGUGGGAUAAAGGUCUCUGUCACGUACCUCUCUUCGGGGAGGCCUUAUAGGGGAGACGACAUACCACCAGCCUGGACUGAGGUCCGCGCAUUCGCUAGGAUGCUGGCGUAAUGGCUGUAAGCGGCCCGUCUUGAAACACGGACCAAGGAGUCUAACAUCUAUGCGAGUGUUUGGGUGUCAAGCCCGAACGCGUAAUGAAAGUGAACGGAGGUGGGAACCCGCAAGGGUGCACCAUCGACCGAUCCUGAUGUCUUCGGAAGGAUUUGAGUAAGAGCAUGGCUGUUGGGMCCCGAAAGAUGGUGAACUAUGCUUGAAUAGGGUGAAGCCAGAGGWMACUCUGGUGGAGGCUCGCAGCGGUUCUGACGUGCAAUCGAUCGUCAAAUUUGGGCAUAGGGGCGAAAGACUAAUCGAACYAKYUARYAGCUGGUUCCUGCCGAAGU